rnacentral:rRNA from 1 species
AUUGAACGCUGGCGGCAGGCCUAACACAUGCAAGUCGAACGAGUCGCGGACGGGUGUGUAAUGUCUGGGACACUGCUUGAUGGAGGGGGAUAACUACUGGAAACGGUAGCUAAUACCGCAUACCUUCAGAUGUGACAAGGUGGCAUUAGCUUGUUGGUGGGGUAACGGCUCACCACGGCGACGAGCCCUAGCUGGUCUGAGAGGAUGACCAGCCACACGGGAACUGAGCCACGGUCCAGACUCCUACGGGAGGCAGAAGUGGGGAAUAUUGCGCAAUGGGCGAAAGCCUGAUGCAGCCAUGCCGCGUGGAUGAAGAAGGCCUUCGGGUUGUAAAGGACUUUCAGCGGGGAGGCGUUACCCGCAGAAGAAGCACCGGCUAACUCCGUGCCAGCAGCCGCGGUAAUAC